UACGUAGGGACCGAGCGUUGUCCUGAAUCAUUGGGCGUAAAGAGCGUGUAGGCGGCUUGUUAAGUCUUGCGUGAAAUCUCGGGGCUCAACCCCGAGCGGUCGUGAGAAACUGGCAGGCUAGAGUGCGGGAGAGGAGAGUGGAAUUCCUGGUGUAGCGGUGAAAUGCGCAGAUAUCAGGAAGAACACCCGUGGCGAAGGCGGCUCUCUGGAACGCAACUGACGCUGAGACGCGAAAGCGUGGGGAGCAAACAGG
rnacentral:rRNA from 1 species